rnacentral:rRNA from 1 species
AUUGAACGCUGGCGGCAGGCCUAACACAUGCAAGUCGAACGAGUGGCGGACGGGUGAGUAAUGUCUGGGAAACUGCCUGAUGGAGGGGGAUAACUACUGGAAACGGUAGCUAAUACCGCAUACCAUCGGAUGUGCCCAGAUGGGAUUAGCUAGUAGGUGGGGUAAAGGCUCACCUAGGCGACGAUCCCUAGCUGGUCUGAGAGGAUGACCAGCCACACUGGAACUGAGACACGGUCCAGACUCCUACGGGAGGCAGCAGUGGGGAAUAUUGCACAAUGGGCGAAAGCCUGAUGCGUCCAUGCCGCGUGUAGGAAGAAGGCCUUCGGGUUGGAAAGUACUUUCAGCGAGGAGGCGUUACUCGCAGAAGAAGCACCGGCUAACUCCGUGCCAGCAGCCGCGGUAAUAC